GCUGGGCACUGUGGCACAUGCCUGUAAUCCUAGUGACUUGGGAGGCUGAGGCAGGAGAAUCGGAAGUUUGAGGACAGACUCAGCAAUUUAGCCAGGCCCUAAGCAACUUAGUGAGAUCCUGUCUCAG
rnacentral:sRNA from 1 species